rnacentral:rRNA from 1 species
AGCGAACGCUGGCGGCAGGCCUAACACAUGCAAGUCGAACGAAGUCUUCGGACUUAGUGGCGGACGGGUGAGUAACACGUGGGAACGUGCCUUUAGGUUCGGAAUAACUCAGGGAAACUUGUGCUAAUACCGAAUGCGCCCUUCGGGGGAAAGAUUUAUCGCCUUUAGAGCGGCCCGCGUCUGAUUAGCUAGUUGGUGAGGUAAAGGCUCACCAAGGCUACGAUCAGUAGCUGGUCUGAGAGGAUGACCAGCCACAUUGGGACUGAGACACGGCCCAAACUCCUACGGGAGGCAGCAGUGGGGAAUCUUGCGCAAUGGGCGAAAGCCUGACGCAGCCAUGCCGCGUGGAUGAUGAAGGUCUUAGGAUUGUAAAAUCCUCUCACCGGUGAAGAUAAUGACUGUAGCCGGAGAAGAAGCCCCGGCUAACUUCGUGCCAGCAGCCGCCGUAAUAC